GCCUGGCUAGCUCAAUUAGUAAAGCAUGAGACUCUUAAUCUCAGGGUUGUGGGUUCAAGCCUCACGUUGGGCA